AAAAUUGAAUGAUGAACAUAAACUCCUUAGCAGGCAUCAUAAGAAGGACACUGUUACGCUGCAACACUGAGUGGUGAAGCACAUAAGAGAGUCCAGAGUUAUUGGUUUCUGAAGAAUGAUGGGCCACGUUCUGUUCAGAGUGUUCAUUUUCGUCACACUUAUCUCAUUUUAUCUUUAAGCUCUUUUGACUAAUAAAUAAUUCACAAUUAACAUUUUCUGAAGUCUUUUUUUAUUUUUUGGUGAUAUUUAAAUUUGAGACACAACAUUGCUUUUAAAAAGUGUGUUGUUAUACAGGAGGUUCUGAAUAUCCCUUCAGCAAUCCAACAUGAUGAAUAUACAUAAUAGUUCAUUAGGAUUUCUGCAGAUGUCCUAUAGGAAUUGAACACUAAUGCAAAUUAGAUUUCCUGUAGGUUUCCUGCAGGAGUCCUGCAUGUUUCCUGUA